GGCUGCUUGGCAAUGUGGUCAGCGCGUUUGGCUCUUACCCGGGAGUCUGGGGUUCAAUUCCCCUCCUUCGGCCU